rnacentral:tRNA from 1 species
GGGGUCGUCUGCUAGCAUGGUCUAGGCUUCGAGGUUGCAACCCUCGAGAUCGUGGGUUCAAAUCCCACCGACCCCACCA